AAUCAGCCCUAGCAGGUUCACCAUGUUCUCUGUGCAGUUUGAGACAAACUCACUAAACGUCCUGUUCUCUGAAAAAUGAUCCAUCCAAGAGGGCACAGGCCAAGAGUGUUUCUCCUUUUGGUAUCAGGGACAGGUUGUAAUGCUGCCGUGAUCAAAGGCAUGAGUUCCUCAGGUGAGGGGGCAGCCCGGCUACAGCCCUGGUGGGGAGGGCUGCACUUAGCGUAGGAGCUGGCUAUUUCACUGCCCCCACCCCAUCUUCAUUGCUUCUAGGCAUCCAGAGCUCUAUGGUGUAACGUAUAUCCUGGAAUAGUUCCAACAUCUCUGUUCCAGGACUUGCUGGACACAGAACCACUUGUGAUACGGUUAGAAAAGUCACUUUUCAUCUCCUGUCCUAAGCUGCUAAGAAAAACGAAUCAUGUAGCCUAGAUUUACAUGUUUGCCUUUUUCUGGUGAUCAUGAGUGACUGAUCUGAGCAAUAAGUAUAUGACUGAGAGGCCCUCGCCAGGCAUUUGUGGAGCGGAUUGCCGAAGCUUGGUUAGUUAAGCAAUAUGCCAGAAAUUUGGAGAUCAUGAACUCUGACUUUUGCCACCUUGCCACAUGCUCUUCAGCCAGUUAUUUCUCCUAUGUUCUGCCUUUAUAAAAUGGGGAUAAGCUAUCUCUGAGGUUGUUUUAAGAAGAGACACUAAUGAAAAUGAUUGUCAAGUGCCUCUCUAAAGAGAAAGUACAGUAGGCAUAAGUGCUUUAUGUGAUGAAAUUCCAUCUUUCUUCCUCCCUUUGCAACCUGAACCAUGGAAUCAAUAAUGUUUUUCCAAGUGCAGUGUCCCCAGGACAAAAUAUGAAUCAGUUUCCUGAGCUCGGCAGCCCUCGGAUGGGGAGUAGCCCCUGCCCUCUGGGGCCUGGUGUCCAGGGUGUGGCUGGCUUUACUGCUGUAAGUGCCCAUCUUAUCCUGGGAUUCCAGCCAAGAUGCCAGUGUUGCAAAUUUCUCUGAUUUCAGAGGAAGAUUUGUUUAGGGGUUGAGUCUUCACAGUGGCUUUUGCCAUCUAUCUCCAUUUUAUUUUCUCUUUUAUCGAGUACCUAUUGUACCCCAGGCACUGUGCUAAAUGCAUUCACCUACAUUAUCUUGUUUAAUCCUCUGAGCAGCUCGGCGAGGGGGGUGUCAUUACCAUUCUUAUUUUACCUCACGAAAUAGGCACUUGGAGGGAGUGAAACGAGUUAGCAAGGUAACACAGAAAACAACGGGCAAGGCCAGGAUUCCAACCCAAGCUCAUCAUUACUCUCCCAUGCUUCCUUUCCCACAGUUGCCCUACAUUCAGACACUUCCCAUUUAAGAGAAAAUCAAACUGCAGUUUGAGAAAGCACUAACUAGAGAGUUCAAGGGAGUGGGGUCUUCUGCCCACACCUAUGGGGAAUAUGCUGUAGGCAUGGCUAUUGGGUACUACCUGCCUUGGAGGAUGAGGGUGAAGGGAAUGGGGUCCUUCCUCCUUCACCUGGUCCUGUAGACCAGUGCCCAGGCCUGUGUGUUCUCAGAGCAUUUCCUGCCCAUCUGAAAUGCAGAGCAUCCAGGCUGUCACUGCUACAGCAGGGCCCCUAAUGCACUGCCUUACAUCAACAUGAUUGUCAACUCAUUUCAGCUCAAUCAUCCGGCCUUGUGAGAGACGCCCACAUGCUGAAGAGCCUUUCUGCAGUUCUGCAUUGAACUCUUCAUGUGGCCCCAUCUAGUAAUGAGUGCGAGUGGUCAUGUGGCAAAGACACUUUGAGGAGCCCAUCCUGGGAUGAAAACCAUGGCCAGGGAAGAGGCCACAGCAGAGAGGCAGAGGUGCUGAAACCACUUCUGCAACCACAAGGACGAAAGUGCACCUCAUUGGUGAGGGAGCGCUGGUGCCUGCCCCCAUGUGCACACAGCAGCCCAUAGCUAAGGAGUCACAGAGCUCUUACCUCAAUCCUACCUGAUCAGUUCAGCCAGAACUGAUCUCUCAGCCAAGUCUGUACCCUGGCUAGAAUGUGAUCUUCAAAAUGUGAUCCUAACCUGUUUUGUUCACUCCUAUGACCCCAGCAUCCAGAACAAUGCUUGGCACCAUUGGUAGGCACUCAAAUACUAUACUUGGUACAUCAAAUAACAAAUUAACUCCUCCAUUCUAUGCCUUCUUGGAAGGGAUACAGGAUGGCAGCUGGGGAGAGGAGAGCACAGAAGAAAGAUGAGAACAGGAUCUUAGAAAACUUCCCUGGGGCAUAUUUGUAGGCCCUGACUUACCCAGAUCCUUGGAACAGGAAUUAUGGCUUAGGGAGCAGUAGGCAAGCCCUGAUCAUGGAGCCUGGCAGACCCAUUUAUUCCUUCAACAAGGAUUUAUGGAACACUUACCAGAUGCCAAGUCCUGCUGUAUUCUCAGCCUUGCCAGGCCUAGCUUUCAUACCCUUCUGGCCCUGUGAUUUCUGGCUAGCUGUUAGCCUCUCUCUCUGUUCAUUCAUUGGUAAAUACAUCACAGGGUUCUUGAGAAGAUUAAAUGACAUAAUAUAUAAAAUA
rnacentral:lncRNA from 1 species